CAGCAGCCGCGGGAAUACGUAGGUGGCAAGCGUUGUCCGGAAUUAUUGGGCGUAAAGCGAGCGCAGGCGGUUAGAUAAGUCUGAAGUUAAAGGCUGUGGCUUAACCAUAGUACGCUUUGGAAACUGUUUAACUUGAGUGCAAGAGGGGAGAGUGGAAUUCCAUGUGUAGCGGUGAAAUGCGUAGAUAUAUGGAGGAACACCGGUGGCGAAAGCGGCUCUCUGGCUUGUAACUGACGCUGAGGCUCGGAAGCGUGGGGAGCAAACAGGAUUAGAUACCCCUGUAGUCCCUGUCUCUUAUACC
rnacentral:rRNA from 1 species